rnacentral:rRNA from 1 species
AACGCUAGCUACAGGCUUAACACAUGCAAGUCGAGGGGAAACGAUAUUGGAAGCUUGCUUCCGAUAGGCGUCGACCGGCGCACGGGUGAGUAACGCGUAUCCAACCUGCCCACCACUUGGGGAUAACCUUGCGAAAGUAAGACUAAUACCCAAUGAUAUCUCUAGAAGACAUCUGAAAGGGAUUAAAGAUUUAUCGGUGAUGGAUGGGGAUGCGUCUGAUUAGCUUGUUGGCGGGGUAACGGCCCACCAAGGCGACGAUCAGUAGGGGUUCUGAGAGGAAGGUCCCCCACAUUGGAACUGAGACACGGUCCAAACUCCUACGGGAGGCAGCAGUGAGGAAUAUUGGUCAAUGGACGAGAGUCUGAACCAGCCAAGUAGCGUGCAGGAUGACGGCCCUAUGGGUUGUAAACUGCUUUUAUAAGGGAAUAAAGUGGGAGUCGUGACUCCUUUUGCAUGUACCUUAUGAAUAAGGACCGGCUAAUUCCGUGCCAGCAGCCGCGGUAAUACGGAAGGUCCGGGCGUUAUCCGGAUUUAUUGGGUUUAAAGGGAGCGUAGGCCGGAGAUUAAGCGUGUUGUGAAAUGUAGAUGCUCAACGUCUGCACUGCAGCGCGAACUGGUUUCCUUGAGUACGCACAAAGUGGGCGGAAUUCGUGGUGUAGCGGUGAAAUGCUUAGAUAUCACGAAGAACUCCGAUUG